rnacentral:lncRNA from 1 species
UCACUUUCUGACAAAAGACAAGGCAAGGACCCACCAGCACUCCAGGUCUCACUUCAUGAUGAUGUCAUCCUCAUUGAGGGCUCACAACCUGACCAACUACUGGUUUCACUUCAGUUUUGACAUUUCCCAGAGCUAAAGAGCUAACCUAAGUCCCAAUCACAGAGAAUCCAACUGGUUCAUCUUCAGGAUCACCGCAGAAGUCAGAUCCAACUUACCACACAUUCCUCCAUUUAAAAUACCCUGUCUUUGGAAAGUCAGGCCUCUGCACCAAAGCUAAGCCAUCAUAUCCCCUGUGACCUGCACGUACACAUCCAGAUGGUCGGUUCCUGCCUUAACUGAUGACAUUCCACCACAAAAGAAGUGAAAAUGGGCUGUUCCUGCCUUAACUGAUGAUAUUACCUUGUGAAAUUCCUUUUCCUGGCUCAUCCUGGUUCAAAAGCUCCCCCACUGAGCACCUUGUGACCCCCACCCCUGCCCGCCAGAGAACCCCCUUUGACUGUAAUUUUCCUUUACCUACCCAAAUCCUAUAAAACGGCCCCACCCCAUCUCCCUUCGCUGACUCUCUUUUCCGACUCAGCCCGCCUGCACCCAGGUGAUUAAAAAGCUUUAUUGCUCACACAAAAAUAAAUAAAUAAAUAAAUAAAUAAAUAAAUAAAUAAAUAAACAAA